rnacentral:rRNA from 1 species
UACGUAGGUGGCGAGCGUUGUCCGGAUUUACUGGGCGUAAAGAGCGCGCAGGCGGUCGUACAAGUCGCGUGUGAAAGCCCUCGGCUCAACUGGGGAGGGUCACGCGAUACUGAUCGACUCGAAGGCAGGAGAGGGUAGUGGAAUUCCCGGUGUAGUGGUGAAAUGCGUAGAUAUCGGGAGGAACACCAGUGGCGAAGGCGACUACCUGGCCUGUUCUUGACGCUGAGGCGCGAAAGCUAGGGGAGCAAACGGGG